GUACAUUUUGUUUUCACAGACUAAUCUUGCCUGAUAAUGAGGCGGUGACCUCGUAUUUGCUCCGGGAAAAGUCCAGAUUUAGACGACGUCAUUGUGUGUAAGUGACACGGUUUACUGUUUCUCCUUCCUUGUUAAAUGUUACUGUGACAUGGGUUUGAUUUUUUUGUAUUCAUACCACACUCAUUUAAUUGUUUUCCAUCCGCCUGUAAGAUGUAUUUUGAGACGGUACGCAGGAGCUUCAGGAUUUCCAGCCGGACACUCAUUGCGGGCGGAAGAUGCGAAGGAUUCAGCGCGGAGUCGAGCGAGAAGAAAGAGGCUGCUGGAAUCGAGACAAAGUGUGCUGGCUGAUGACGAGGUGGAACUCUGGAACUCCGCCACCGUAGAGCUCACGUCGGACGGAGAGGAUGGCGUUGUUGGCGGGGUCUCGGGGUGGAUUGUACGGUCGCCACACACUAGGCGCCUGCACAACAGACCUGCCUCGGAAAACACGGCGCCAGUGAGGGUCUACAACCCCGAGAAGCUAAACGGACAGUUUACUGAGCUGUAGUUUUUAAACCGCCG
ensembl:lncRNA